CCUANGGGGGGCAGCAGUAGGGAAUAUUGGGAAUGGGCGAAAGCCUGACCCAGCAACGCCGCGUGAGUGAUGAAGGCCUUCGGGUUGUAAAACUCUUUUUACGGGGACGAGGAAGGACGGUACCCGUAGAAUAAGUCUCGGCUAACUACGUGCCAGCAGCCGCGGUAACACGUAGGAGACGAGCGUUAUCCGGAUUUACUGGGUGUAAAGCGCGUGCAGGCGGUUUCGUAAGUUGGAUGUGAAAGCUCCUGGCUUAACUGGGAGAGGUCGUACAAGACUGCGAGACUAGAGGAUGACAGAGGGGAGUGGAAUGCCGAGUGUAGCGGUAAAAUGCAUAGAUAUUCGGAAGAACACCAGUGGCGAAGGCGGCUCUCUGGGUCAUAUCUGACGCUCAGACGCGAAAGCUAGGGUAGCAAACGGGAUUAGAUACCCCGNUANUC
rnacentral:rRNA from 1 species